rnacentral:rRNA from 1 species
UACGGAGGGAGCUAGCGUUGUUCGGAAUUACUGGGCGUAAAGCGCACGUAGGCGGCUUUGUAAGUUAGAGGUGAAAGCCCGGGGCUCAACUCCGGAACUGCCUUUAAGACUGCAUCGCUUGAAUCCAGGAGAGGUGAGUGGAAUUCCGAGUGUAGAGGUGAAAUUCGUAGAUAUUCGGAGGAACACCAGAAGCGAAGGCGGCCAACUGGCCCGAUACUGACGCUGAGGCGCGAAAGCGUGGGGAGCAAACAGG